rnacentral:SRP_RNA from 1 species
GCCAGGCACGGUGGCCCAUGCCUGUAAUCCCAGCUACUCGGGAGGCUGAGGCAGAAGGAUCGCUUGGGCCCAGGAAGUGGAGAUUGCAGUGAGCUGAGCUUGUGCCACUGCAGUGCAGCCUGGGUGACAGAGCGAGACUCUGUCUCAA